rnacentral:rRNA from 1 species
UACGUAGGGGGCAAGCGUUGUCCGGAAUCAUUGGGCGUAAAGCGCGUGUAGGCGGUUCGGUAAGUCGGCUGUGAAAGUCCAGGGCUCAACCCUGGGAUGCCGGUCGAUACUGCCGGACUAGAGUCCGGAAGAGGCAGUGGAAUUCCCGGUGUAGCGGUGAAAUGCGCAGAUAUCGGGAGGAACACCAAUGGCGAAGGCAGCUGCUGGGACGUUACUGACGCUGAGACGGCGAAAAGCGGUGGGGAGCAAACAGGAU